rnacentral:rRNA from 1 species
ACGGCGAGUGAACAGGGAAGAGCCCAGCACCGAAGCCUGUGGCCAUUUGGUCUCUAGGCAAUGUGGUGUUUAGGUCAGCUCGCGGAGACACUGUCCCACUCUAAGUCCAGCAAUGAGACUGGUAUCUGGACAUGGCCCAAAGAGGGUGAAAGGCCCGUGAGGGUGGGAACUCAGACAUGCCAGUGUCUCCCUGAGUAGACCUUGGAGUCGGGUUGUUUGUGAAUGCAGCCCAAAGUGGGUGGUAAACUCCAUCCAAGGCUAAAUACUAACACGAGUCCGAUAGCGAACAAGUACCGUGAGGGAAAGUUGAAAAGUACUUUGAAGAGAGAGUAAACAGUGCGUGAAACCGCUCAGAGGUAAACGGGUGGAGUUGAACUGCAAAGCUCCGAGAAUUUAACUGGUGAGUGUGGUAUACACUUGGAUAUAUUGGUUGGCCCUCAAAGUCUGCAGAAAACUGUGGAGGCUGUGCUAACGCGCGGCGUGCGUUGAAGCGCUUAUCAAGCGCUGUGCUCUUUGGGGGUACUUCGAACCUGCUUGCCAGUGCAUUUUCUCAGAGUGAUCACCACGACCGGCGCUGCUGUCUGUCUGCUGUGGUUAAACCGGGUGUGUAUCGUCCUUGUGGCUUUGCAUACUCGGGAUGGCAGGUAACCCGAUUGUGCUUGUCGCGAUUGGGUGUAAUCAGCUGACCAUAGUAGUACUGUACAGUGCGUCGGAGACGGCGGCUUGUGGUGCGUACAUGCGUGCAUGUUGAGUGGCGGCUUUGGGUCUGGUUAUACUGUAGCCUGUAAAAACAGGCCCUGUAAUGGCCCAGGGUUGUUCACUUGAUGGUUGCGUAUGGGGCACUUUAAUGGGCCUACAGUCUGUGG